rnacentral:rRNA from 1 species
GAGUUUGAUCGUGGCUCAGAUUGAACGCUGGCGGCAUGCCUUACACAUGCAAGUCGAACGGCAGCAUGAUCUAGCUUGCUAGAUUGAUGGCGAGUGGCGAACGGAUGAGUAAUACAUCGGAACGUGCCCUGUAGUGGGGGAUAACUAGUCGAAAGAUUAGCUAAUACCGCAUACGACCUGAGGGUGAAAGUGGGGGACCGCAAGGCCUCAUGCUAUAGGAGCGGCCGAUGUCUGAUUAGCUAGUUGGUGGGGUAAAGGCCCACCAAGGCGACGAUCAGUAGCUGGUCUGAGAGGACGAUCAGCCACACUGGGACUGAGACACGGCCCAGACUCCUACGGGAGGCAGCAGUGGGGAAUUUUGGACAAUGGGCGAAAGCCUGAUCCAGCAAUGCCGCGUGUGUGAAGAAGGCCUCGGUU